AACAAAUCAACCAUUCAAGCCACAUAUCCAUCAAAUCCAGUUACCGCCAUCCGCGCAUUCAACCUGGUAGGUUUAAGUUUAGCGCCAUCUAUGAAAAUUAAACACAAAAUAUCUUGUUGUUGGAAAAUCUAUUUUAUUUCAUUUUAAAAGAAAAAAAUUCCAAUCAUUUUCGUUAAAAAUUUCUAAAUAAAUGAUAGAUUUAUUAGUUGAUCGAUUUAAUAAA